rnacentral:snRNA from 1 species
AUGCUCGCUUCGGCAGCACAUCUACUAAAAUUGGAACGAUACAGAGAAGAUUAGCAUGGCCCCUGUGCAAGGAUGACACGCAAACUCGUGAAGUGUUCCAUAUUUUU